rnacentral:rRNA from 1 species
UACGGAGGGUGCAAACGUUGCUCGGAAUCAUUGGGCGUAAAGCGCACGUAGGCGGUUCUGUAAGUCGGGCGUGAAAUCCCUCGGCUUAACCAAGGAAGUGCACUCGAAACUACAGAACUUGAAUACUGGAGAGGGUCGCAGAAUUGUCGGUGUAGAGGUGAAAUUCGUAGAUAUCGGCAGGAAUACCGGUGGCGAAGGCGGCGACCUGGUCAGAUAUUGACGCUGAGGUGCGAAAGCGUGGGGAGCAAACAGG